GUCUACGUAGCUCAGCUGGAUAGAGCACACGCCUUCUAAGCGUGCGGUCAUGGGUUCGAAUCCCCUCGUGGACGCCA
rnacentral:tRNA from 12 species